UCCUGUGUAGCUUGAGUGGUAGAGCAUGGCAUUAAGACUGCCAGGGUUUGGGUUCAAUUCCCAUGCUUAGAAU